rnacentral:rRNA from 1 species
AGUGAACGCUGGCGGUAGGCCUAACACAUGCAAGUCGAACGGCCGCACAGUAAGAGCUUGCUCUUAAGGGUGGCGAGUGGCGGACGGGUGAGGCAUACAUCGGCAUCUUCUUUUUCGUGGGGGAUUUCGUAGGGCCACUUACGCUAAUAGCGCAUACGAUCUACGGGUGAAUUCAGGGGAUCAUCGCACUCUUCCUGUCACUUUUAGCCGAAGUCGCAUUAGCUAGUUGGCGAGGUAAAGGCCCACCAAGGCGACGAACCGUAGCAGAUCUGAGAGGAUGAUCGGCCACACUGGAACUGAGACACGGUCCAGACUCCUACGGGAGGCAGCAGUAGGGAAUCUUGGGCAAUGGGCGCAAGCCUGAUGCAGCCAUACCGCGUGAGUGAAGAAGGUCUUCGGAUUGUAAAGCCCUUUUAUUGGGAAAGAAAAGCAGUAGAUGAAACUCCCGCUGUUCUGACGGUACCCAAAGAAUAAGCCCCGGCUAACUUCGUG